CAGCCGCCACGGAAUACGUAGGGUGCAAGCGUUAAUCGGAAUUACUGGGCGUAAAGCGUGCGCAGGCGGUGUUGUAAGACUGAUGUGAAAUCCCCGGGCUCAACCUGGGAACUGCAUUGGUGACUGCAGCGCUGGAGUGCGGCAGAGGGGGAUGGAAUUCCGCGUGUAGCAGUGAAAUGCGUAGAUAUGCGGAGGAACACCGAUGGCGAAGGCAAUCCCCUGGGCCUGCACUGACGCUCAUGCACGAAAGCGUGGGGAGCAAACAGGAUUAGAUACCCCGGUAGUCCCUGUCUCUUAUACA
rnacentral:rRNA from 1 species